rnacentral:tRNA from 1 species
UACUAUUUGGUGUAUGGGGCACGGGAUUUUUUGGAAAUUCAAGAGCAGUUUAAUUCUGCGACUAGUAA